ensembl:lncRNA
CCAGAAUUUAGUCAUAUACCAAUACCUGGAAAAUGUAAUAUCUAUGGGUGGUGCUAGUGGCAAAGAACCUCCCUGCCAACAAAGGUAGAGAACACCAUGGACAGAGGAGUCUGGCGGGCUACAGUCCACAGCGUCGCAAACAUCAGACAAGACUGAAGGAACCUAGCAUGCAUUCCAAGCAAAGAGGUAUCAAACAAAAAAUUCUGAUCUACUUCUGCAAAGGAAGGUGGGGGAAGAGUUCACUGGGAGCCAGUAGGCACGAGGGAGAGGCACAUAAGCCUUCGGCCCCUGUGGCUGCUUAGAGCUUGUUGUGGUCUGCACACCCAUCUCUGCCAGGCCCGAGCUUCUGUAAUGGACUAAUCUGAUCCUAGGAUACCCCUGCUGCAGUCAAUAGCAGCCCUCGCCCUGGGAUUGCUCCAUAAUCCCGAAACUCCAGCUCCCAGCUGUUGUGCCUUCUGGUGACCUGUGUUCCUGUCUGGGGUAUGUACGGCUGCGGCAAGGACUGUCUGAUUCUCAUUCCAUUUAGGCUGCCACAGAUCAGCUGUUUCACUCUCAGCCUUAGAUGUUUCUCCUCUGACUCAGACAGUUGCCCAG